AGGCCGAUAGCCGAGCGGUCUCAGGCGGCAAUCUGCAAAAUUGCUUACAUGGGUUCAAAUCCCAUUCGGCCUU
rnacentral:tRNA from 1 species